rnacentral:siRNA from 1 species
GCGGGGAUAGCUCAGUUGGGA